AAGGGGUUAGUUUAUAAAAAACAUAAAUUUGUCAAGUUUAAGUAACUUAAUUAGUGCUUCUUU
rnacentral:tRNA from 2 species